GCUGACCCCAUAGCGCCCCACAGACCCCAUAGCGCCCCAUAAAUCCCAAUCUGCCCCAUAAAUACUCCCCCCACGAUGAGCUCUGCGCAUGCGCACCGGCGUCAUUUCUCCGCGCCGCUCUUUGACGUCAUCAGAGCGCGCCGCGCGCCCACGCCCCGCUCCACCGUGCCAUCUGCGCAUGCGCGAUUGCUGCGCCGCGUCGUCAUCAGAGCGCGCCGCGACGUUGACGUCAUCGGCCCGCGCCCACACCGCGACCCGGAAGCGGAGGAUCUCCGUGCCGCUUCUUUCGCUCCCAACCCCAAAAUGGCGCCUCGGCGGCGCUCCGGAGGGGUCGGGAAGCAGCGGCCGGGCCCGGAGGCGGUGGAGGCGGCUCUGAGGGAAGCGACGGAGUUGUUCCCGAGGCGAUCGGCGACUCUGCCCGCUCUGGUGCUGCGCCAUCAGCUGUACGGGUUGGCGGGGGAUCGCACGGCGGUGGACCGGCAUUUGAACCGCCUGCAGGCCGAGGGCCGCGUGCGGCUGCUGCACCUGGGGUUGGGCCCCGACACCGUGGCCGUGGUGGGAGCUGAGGAGUACCGGGAAACGGUGAGGCCCUGACCUCUGACCCCCGGUCAUGACCUCUGACCCCUGCUCAUGACCUCUGACCUCAGCUCUAGUCCGUGUCUCUCCCCCCCCUCCACCAAAAUCAUUCAUACGGAUCUUCAGUCCCACUCAUGUGAUCCAUGGCUUCAGCCCUGACCUCUGACCUUUCCCCUGACCUCUGACCUCUCCCCUGACCUCUGACCUUUCCCCCCAACCAUUGGCACUGAUCCUCACCCCCACCCCAUGUGACCUUCGGCUCCAGCCCUGACCUCUGACCCUGAGCUCCGCCUCUCCCCUCAUUGAUGCUGACCCUCAGUCCCACCCCCGUGACCUCUGACCUUUCACCCCAAAAUCAAUGAUGCUGACCUCUGACCCUGAGCUCCGCCUCUCCCCUCAUUGAUGCUGACCCUCAGUCCCACCCCCGUGACCUCUGACCUUUCUCUCCCCAAAAUCAACAGCGCUGACCCUUAGUCCCACCCACGUGACCCAUGGCUCCAGCCUUGACCUCUGACCUUUCCCCCGACCUCUGACCUUUCGCCCCCAUCCCAAAUCUUGACCCAGUCCCUGCCCUCAGUCCCUCAGGCCAUACCCAUAACCUUUGCCCCUGCCCCUUGACCUUUGACCCCAUCGACCACUCUCACCCCGACCUUUGACCCUGGCCCCGCCCCCUGACCUUUCACCCUGACUUCUGACCUAUGACUCCCACCCACCUUGUGCCCUUGACCCUCUGACCUCUCACCCCAGCUGACCCCUGACCCUUGACCCCAAUUUCUGCCCUCACCCUGACCUCUGACCCCCCACCUCGUACCCCUGACCCUGUGACCUCUCACCCCAGCUGACCCCUGACCUUUGACCCCAACUCCUGCCUUCACCCCUGACCUUUCACCCCCACCUUGUNNNNNNNNNNNNNNNNNNNNNNNNNCCAUGACCCUCUGACCUCUCACCCCAGCUGACCCCUGACCUUUGACCCCAGUAUUUGCCCUCACCCCUGACCAUUCGCUCCCAAUAUCUGCCC
rnacentral:lncRNA from 1 species